ACGUACACUCCUGCGGGAGGCAGCAGUGGGGAAUUUUACGCAAUGGGGGAAACCCUGACGUAGCGACACCGCGUGAGCGAAGAAGCCCUUUGGGGUGUAAAGCUCUGUCAGCUGGAACGAAAACAAUGACGGUACCAGCAGAGGAAGCAUCGGCUAACUACGUGCCAGCAGCCGCGGUAAGACGUAGGAUGCGAGCGUUGUCCGGAUUUAUUGGGCGUAAAGAGUUCGUAGGUGGUUUGCUAAGUUUGGUGUUAAAGAUCGGGGCUCAACCCUGGGACUGCACUGAAUACUGGCAGACUCGAGUGUGGUAGAGGCUAGUGGAAUUCCCAGUGUAGCGGUGAAAUGCGUAGAUAUUGGGAAGAACACCGGUGGCGUAGGCGACUAGCUGGGCCAUAACUGACGCUGAGGAACGAAAGCCAGGGGAGCGAAUGGGAUUAGAAACCCCUGUAGUCCC
rnacentral:rRNA from 1 species